UUAAAAGAUUUAGAUGCACUAUUGUAAAGUGGCUGUUCCACUGGAUGUCAUAAGGUGAAUGCACCAAUUUGUAAGUCGCUCUGGAUAAGAGCGUCAGCUAAAUGACUUAAAUGUAAUGUAAAACAAACAACAAAUGUAUCCAACAAAUGUGUAGAGUCACAACCUUGAUGUAGGCAUUGCGUGCUAGGAAUAUGGGACCAAAUACUUAACUUCGACUACUUUAAUACACACAAGUGAAUUUGUCCCAAUACUAUAUACAGAAAGGGUACUAUAUACAAAAAGUACUGUCAGUUCUAAACGGUUCAACCGAUAGGGAUGAAAAUACCCUCUAAAUACGGCAACAGUCUGCAAUUUAACCUUAUGGUCAUGGUUUGAUUUCCCAAUAAUCCCGGAGGACACUGUAUUUCCUGGUUCCGAGGAGCAUUUGAAUGGAUGAAGCUGUGAAGAGACUGAGUCUGGCACUGAACUGAACUGUCAAUACUGUACUAGUACAGCACCUCAGGGUUCUGGGAGAUGAAAUACAAUGCAUUUUAGAAAUCCAUUCACUAAGUCAUGUAAGCACACAGGUGGGGGUGGGAGAAGCCCUUGGAUGUAGAAAUAUGUGGCUGGAACAGACAUGAUAUUUUCUGAUGAAUUUAACCUGCUGUCUGGAAUGAUAUGACAGUGUGGAGGUAAUCCAGUAUGUUACUGUCUGGAAUGAUAUGACAGUUGUGGAGGUAAUCCAGUAUGUUACUGUCUGGAAUGAUAUGACAGUGUGGAGGUAAUCCAGUAUGUUACUGUCUGG